rnacentral:rRNA from 1 species
GGACUGUCUCCUCUUUUAAGUCAAUGAAAUUGAUCUCCCCGUGCAGAAGCGGGGAUACUUCCAUAAGACGAGAAGACCCUAUGGAGCUUUAGACACUAAGGCAGCUCAUGUCAAAAACCCUAUAAUAAAAGACUGAACCAAAUGAGCUCUGCCCUAAUGUCUUUGGUUGGGGCGACCGCGGGGAACUAAAUAACCCCCAUGUGGAAUGGGAACACCUCUCCUAAAACGAAGAGCCACAGCUCUAAGCAACAGAACUUCUGACCUUCGAGAUCCGGCAAUGCCGAUAAACGAACCGAGUUACCCUAGGGAUAACAGCGCAAUCCUCUUUUAGAGCCCAUAUCGACAAGGGGGUUUACGACCUCGAUGUUGGAUCAGGACAUCCUAAUGGUGCAGCCGCUAUUAAGGGUUCGUUUGUUCAACGAUUAAAGUCCUACGUGAUCUGAGUUCAAACCGGAG